UGGGUCCUGCCUGGCUUUUGUUUAUUCACUCAGCAAACCUGUGUCCUUCGGGUCCAAUACUUGCCCUGGAGAAGAGAAGAGAACGCUUGCUUGAAAAGGAGAUGUGGGAAUGGAUGGGUACGGCCACAGGAAGAGGAGGGCAUGGAGCCAGGCUGCCCGGGGGCUGCGUUUGCUGGGCCUUUACCUGGCCGAGGACCUGGGCCAAGUCCAUCUGCGGGCUUGGAGGCCUCAUUUGUUGGGCAAGGUGUUCCCUUCAGUCCCCAAAAUGCUGCAAUUACCUGGAGAUGAUCUUUCACAGAGACAAAUCAGGUGAGGAACAGCCACUAAGAGCCAUUGUCCGGUGAGAGGAAUGGCCAGAACACGACAGACAGAAGUCAUCCCUGCCCGAGACGUGCCUGGGAUAUUCGUGUGGCAGCAAGAGAUGGCAGCUCUGCGAGACCCGGAGAGGAAGCCAGACACACCACGGUGAAAACCUAACUCUGUCUAGGAGACCAACUUCCCC